AGCGAACGCUGGCGGCAGGCUUAACACAUGCAAGUCGAGCGGGCAUCCUUGUGGUGUCAGCGGCAGACGGGUGAGUAACGCGUGGGAACGUGCCCUUCGGUUCGGAAUAACUCCGGGAAACUUGAGCUAAUACCGGAUACGUGCGAGAGCAGAAAGGUUUAUCUGCCGAAGGAUCGGCCCGCGUCUGAUUAGCUAGUUGGUGAGGUUAUGGCUCACCAAGGCGACGAUCAGUAGCUGGUCUGAGGAUGAUCAGCCACACUGGGACUGAGACACGGCCCAGACUCCUACGGGAGGCAGCAGUGGGGAAUAUUGGACAAUGGGGGCAACCCUGAUCCAGCCAUGCCGCGUGAGUGAUGACGGCCUUAGGGUUGUAAAGCUCUUUUCGUCGGGACGAUAAUGACGGUACCGGAGGAAUAAACCCCGGCUAACUUCGU
rnacentral:rRNA from 1 species